UACUCCUACGGGAGGCAGCAGUGGGGAAUAUUGCACAAUGGGGGAAACCCUGAUGCAGCAACGCCGCGUGAACGAAGACGGCCUUCGGGUUGUAAAGUUCUUUGAUUGGGGAAGAAAAUGACGGUACCCAAAAAACAAGCCACGGCUAACUACGUGCCAGCAGCCGCGGUAAUA
rnacentral:rRNA from 1 species